rnacentral:lncRNA from 1 species
ACAAGGUUUCUCUGUGUAGCCCUGACUGUCCUGAACUUACUCUGUAGACCAGGCUGGCCAGACCUCAAACUCGAGAUCCACCUGCCUCUGUCUCCAGAGUGCUAGGAUUAAAGGUGUGAGCCACCAUUGCCUGGCCCCAAAUUGGGACAUUGUUUAAUGGUGGGACCUUGCAGGACCAAGGGCUGGGUUACAGUUGUCUUUGGAGUUGAUUACUAACUGUGACAGAGAGGAUUUUUCUCAUAAAAAGAUUUUGGGCUCAGUGUCUUUUGUAAGUGCCUAGAUAUGUAAGCUGGCUGUGCACAGAAAGUCUUAUGAGAACGGUGACAUUAAACCUCAGAGUCUGAGAAUCUUACAAGAUAAAAGAUAAGGCUGAGCCUGAGGUCGGACCUGCUUGCUGUUGCAGUCUGUGGAGCUGAUAGGGAACGCCUGCACCAGGAGUUGGUGAACGGGGCACAGUGUUAGAAUGUAACGGAUGGGGGUGAUGGCAAAAUUUGAGGAAGAUAGGAGGGAAGUGGGUAACCCAGUCAUUUAACCAGCGCCUCAGGAGAUGCUGUGUAAUGUCUGAUGUGUACAGGCCCGAGUGCUCUUCAGGAAAUCCAGGAAGGGGCAUCUUCUCGGAGUCAGAGAAUGUGCCUUAGGGAAAUAAAUGUUCCGAGCACAGGCUUCAACUCAAGUGGAGAGUUUUAGUGUUGGCCAUCAGCGACUUCUGAGGUCAGUGCAACGAGCUCAGGAGGAUACUGCUGCCCUUUUAGGAGGCAGAGCCACUCCAGUGUCUGCUGAUGGACUUCUAAUCUGGAGAAUUAUAUUCUCCCCUAAGGGCAAUGUGUGGAUUUUGCCUCUUACAUUUUAUUUACUUUGGAAGUUGCACUUGUUCACCUACCAGUGUUUACGGAAUCCUGUGUAUGGGAUGCUUUUUCUAUAAUAAAGUAUUUUUAUUUGUG